AGUCCCUCAUUUGGUGCGCUUAGC
rnacentral:miRNA from 15 species